UGCCUCCCUGUAUCAGCCCGUUUAUCGAGACAGUUCGCGCUACGAUGCCUAUGAAUGUUUAACGCGUCUUCCGUAGAGAAGCUGGUGAAGUGUUUAAGGGUGAAAGCUUGGUAAUGAGGAGGAAGAGCCCGACAAACGACGCUGUUUUCCACAUCACCGCCGGCCGCGACAGAGCGGGGCUGGAUGUGAAGUACAUUGGUUCGUUUAAAGGUGAGCAGAGCAGGUAGAUCAGCUUUGACUGAACCUCGACACAGAGAAGGUCGUGUUAGCGCGGUCUGUGGUUGCUGAUUAAGGCAGGGGAGUGUUUGCCGUGACGAACUUCGCGAGAGGAGAGUUCGUGCUGGAGUACAGAGGAGACCUGAUCAGUGCGGAGGAGAGUCGGAGAAGACAGCGGGUUUAUCACAGCGCCGUGAAAGCGUUCCUGUUCGACUUCAUCUGGCACGGAAAGCUCUGGACCAUUGAUGCUGCAAGGAUGAUGGCACACUUGGAAGACUGGUUAAUGACGACCACAUUAACCCCAACUGUAAAAUGAAGAGAAUCAUUGUGGAGGGAAGGCCACAUUUGUGCCUUUUUGCUUUAAGAGACAUAACACCUGGAGAGGAGAUUACGUAUAAUUAUGGAGAUGGUGAUUGUCCCUGGAGGAGUGAGGUGACAAAAAGUGG